UGUCUCUGACCUGCAUAGAGUGGCAUUUGAUUGGGUGGUGCCCAUUUCAUAUCAGCCAGAGACAAAGCAACCCCUUGUUUAUCCCAGCUUGUUUUUUGGUUUGUGCCCAUACCUGGACACAGGG
rnacentral:snoRNA from 1 species